rnacentral:rRNA from 1 species
AUACGGAGGGUGCAAGCGUUAAUCGGAAUUACUGGGCGUAAAGCGUACGUAGGCGGUUAUUUAAGUCAGAUGUGAAAGCCCCGGGCUUAACUUGGGAACUGCAUUUGAAACUGGGUAACUAGAGUUUAGUAGAGGGGAGUGGAAUUUCAGGUGUAGCGGUGAAAUGCGUAGAGAUCUGAAGGAACACCAGUGGCGAAGGCGACUCCCUGGACUCGAACUGACGCUGAGGUACGAAAGCGUGGGUAGCAAACGGGAUUAGAAACCCCAGUAGUCC